rnacentral:rRNA from 1 species
CAGCAGCCGCGGUAAUACGGAGGGGGCUAGCGUUAUUCGGAAUUACUGGGCGUAAAGCGCACGUAGGCGGCUUCGCAAGUCAGAGGUGAAAGCCUGGGGCUCAACUCCAGAAUUGCCUUUGAGACUGCGUCGCUCGAAUCCGGGAGAGGUGAGUGGAAUUCCGAGUGUAGAGGUGAAAUUCGUAGAUAUUCGGAAGAACACCAGUGGCGAAGGCGGCUCACUGGACCGGCAUUGACGCUGAGGUGCGAAAGCGUGGGGAGCAAACAGGAUUAGAUACCCGCGUAGUCCCUGUCUCUUAUAC